rnacentral:lncRNA from 1 species
CCGAGCUCCCUGCAAGAAAUAGAGAUUUCCAAUUGUCCGGGCAUCAAAUCUCUGCACAAAGAAGGCCUUCCAAGUAAACUACGGGUAUUAGAUGUCAGAUUUGGUGAUAACAGCAAGGAGCUAAGAAGGCAGUGCCACAAGUUAAAAGGAACCAUUCCAAUUGUCAAGUGCUAAUCCAAGGUAACAAACGAGCAAUUCAUUGUUUGUACUCAUUCCUAGUUACCCACAUAUCCCCAUUGCUUUUCCUAAUUAACCUCUGAAGCACCAGAGUCGUUCUCUGAAUAACCCACUUGUUUUAAUCUUCUGUGUGUGCAGGGCUCUUCUUGGACUUGUACAUUCUUCUAGUAUACCUUCAUAGAUACAAUUCUCUCUGUAUUGAAGCACAGUUCAAGGUGUACUUUCCAGUGCUAGCUUGAAUGUCUCCAAAUGUAUUACCAUGCUGGACAUGAACAGGUUAGUAUAUGCAUGAUCAGUCCGUACUCUCAUAUUUCCAUGCACUUUUACAAGUUUAAUCUGCAGUUGUAUUCUUGUUCUUUUGGUUAGCUGGGCCGCUUUUACAAAUUGUUUGAUUGUUUUUUCUUAUCUCAUUAUUGCAUAAUCUGAUAAAUGUGUGUUUCUAAUUCUAUCUGCUGUGCAGGUCCGCCUCUGCCAUGGAGUUGUAAAUUCUUCUAUCCUUGGAGAAUUUCGGCAACAAGGCAGAGUUCACAUGUCAUGUUUGGGUGGUAUCACCUCCUUAUACAUAAUAUGGUACGUAUCUGUAAGAUCACACUUUAUGAUUAAUUAUGUUUACUUUGCUUAGCCUGCUUCUUCCUGAACCACACCUCAAGUCAUUUUUGUUUUGGUUGGAUCUAAAGUGCUUGUUAUGUCGUUCCAAUAUAUUUUGCAGGGAUCUGUUUGGGAGCUGCGCCUUCUCAUAGCCUCCUAGAGAUCUGUCCAAGCUUCUUGAAAAAAAAGGAAAAAUAUAGAAAAGAAAAGAAAAGAAAAGAAUGGAAAAAAAGGAAUAAGGAAAAGGAAAAGGAAAAGGAAAAGGAAAAUGAGAACAAGAAAGUAAAAGGAAAAAAAUCUCGAAGCUCCAUCAAUUCACAGUUCACACUUGUCGGUCUUGUGUGGUAUCUUUAUGGAAUGUAGUUGUGUAGUUGUAGUAUAUAAAUUCUUCCAGUUAAAGAGUAGAAGUAUUGUUUUUUUAUUUUAUUUUCUAGGAUUGGUUGGCUGGUAGCCAUGUUUCAAAUUUGGAAAGUAUAGUACUAAUCACCUUCGUGUUGGUGCCUUGCAUUGAAGCUGGAGUUAACAGAGGUACGUGCUACUUAUAAAUUGUAAGCCCGUUAAAAAAACAUGAUUGGAAACUCAUUAAUAAUUCAGUCUUAUUUUGUAGAUCAAUCUACCAGCUGGAAGCUCAAGUAUUGCGAUGUUGUGGUUGGUUCAGGCGUGGUCUUCUGACACCGCAAUAGCCAAAUGAACAAAAAGGCACUGUCUUGUGGAUGCAAUUUUUGUUUAUUCCAAGCAUUUCUGUGCCAAAUACCAGGGUUACAUAAUUCUUUAACUCCAUGGUGCACACUCGUGAGUAUACUUAUAUCUCAAUGUACUCUUGAAAACCCAUUGCCUUGUUAUGUCCUAAAUGACUUAUUUCUCUAUUCUUCCUUUGAUGCAGUGAAACAAAAGCAUCUUUAGCUUAGUCUAGUAAACUCAUAAUCGAGGAUUGCUGCCAUCAAUAUCUGAUCAGGCCACUUGGUUUACCUUCAUACUUAAAUAUGGUGUCCAGCCCUGCAUCGCUACAUCAAUAUCUGAUCGAGGAUUGCUCCUCCCUGCAUCGCUAACCAAGCAUACCAACAUCAGGGGAUUAGGUAUCGGGGGGUGUCCAGCCCUCCGGUCGCUACCCAACGACGCCUUCCCAAGUUGUCUGGAGAAAUUAAGCAUCUCUAAUUGUCCGGCCAUCAAAUCUCUGCCCGACCACGGCCUCCCGAGUUCUCUACAAAAAUUAGAGAUUACCGAUUGUCGAGCCAUCAAAUCUCCCGAGCUCUCUGCAACAAUUAACGAUUCACAGUUGUCCGGGCAUCAAAUCUCUACACAAAGAAGGCCUUCCAAGUUCACUACGGGUAUUAGAUGUCAGUGAUCAUGAUAACAGCAAGGACCUAAGAAGGCAGUGCCACAAGUUAAAAGGAACCAUUCCAAUUGUCAAAUGCUAAUCGAAGGUAACAACGAGCAAUUCUUUGUCUGUACUCCUUCCUAGUUACCCACAAGUCCCCAUUGCUUCUCCUAAUUAACCUCUUAAGCA